UGCAGGUCGUGUCGUAUCGGGAGGUGAAGGGGUAGACCUAGGAUAACAUUUAUGAAACAAAUAAAAGAGAAGGUGCAGGUCGUGUCGUAUCGGGAGGUGAAGGGGUAGACCUAGGAUAACAUUUAUGAAACAAAUAAAAGAGAAGGUGCAGGUCGUGUCGUAUCGGGAGGUGAAGGUUUUGGCGGGAAGAAGAGAGGAA